GAUGAACGCUGGCGGCGUGCCUAAUACAUGCAAGUCGAGCGAACAGACUAGUAUCUUUCUCCCCUUACGUUAGCGGCGGACGGGUGAGUAACACGUGGAUAACCUACCUAUAAGACUGGGAUAACUUCUUUAAACCGGAGCUACUACCGGAUAAUAUAUUGAACCGCUUGGUUCAAUAGUUAAUUACGGUUUUGCUGUCACUUUUAGAUGUAUCCGCGACGCAUUAGCUAGUUGGUAAGGUAACGGCUUACCAAGGCAACGUUGCGUAGCCGACCUGAGAGGGGGAUCGAGAAAACUGGAACUGAGACACGGUCCAGAGUCCUAAGGGAGGCAGCAGUAGGGAAUCUUACGAAAUGGGCGAAAGCCAGACGGAGCAAAGAAGCGAAGGUGAUGAAGGUGUGCGGAUAGGAAAGCUCUGUUCUUAGGGAAGAAAAAAGGUGUGAGUAACUGCGAACGUGUUGACGGUAAAUAAACAGAAAGACACGGAUAACUACGUG
rnacentral:rRNA from 1 species